rnacentral:rRNA from 1 species
AUGGCUCACCAAGGCGACGACGGGUAGCUGGCCUGAGAGGGUGACCGGCCACACUGGGACUGAGACACGGCCCAGACUCCUACGGGAGGCAGCAGUGGGGAAUAUUGCACAAUGGGCGAAAGCCUGAUGCAGCGACGCCGCGUGAGGGAUGACGGCCUUCGGGUUGUAAACCUCUUUUCAGCAGGGACGAAGCGUAAGUGACGGUACCUGCAGAAGAAGCACCGGCUAACUAUGUGCCAGCAGCCGCGGUAAUACGUAGGGUGCGAGCGUUGUCCGGAAUUACUGGGCGUAAAGAGCUCGUAGGCGGUUUGUC